rnacentral:rRNA from 1 species
GACAGAGGGUGCAAACGUUGUUCGGAAUUACUGGGCGUAAAGCGCGUGUAGGCGGUUUGGUAAGUCGGAUGUGAAAGCCCCGGGCUCAACCCGGGAAGUGCACUCGAUACUGCCAAGCUAGAGUAUCGGAGAGGUUGGUGGAAUUCUCGGUGUAGAGGUGAAAUUCGUAGAUAUUCGCAAGAACACCAGUGGCGAAGGCGGCUCACUGGCCCGAUACUGACGCUGAGGCACGAAAGCGUGGGGAGCAAACAGG